rnacentral:rRNA from 1 species
AGUGAACGCUGGCGGCGUGCCUAAUACAUGCAAGUCGAACGGAGUGGCGCACGGGUGAGUAAUAUAUAUCUAAUCUGCCCCUUGCUGGAGGACAACAGUUAGAACUGACUGCUAAUACUCCAUAGGAAGGGAUGAGACUAUAUCGUAUCAGCUAGUCGGUGGGGUAACGGCCUACCGCGGCUAUGACGCGUAACUGGUCUGAGAGGAUGAUCAGUGAAAUUGGAAGUGAGAAACGGUCCAAACUCAUACGGGAGGCAGCAGUAGGGAAUAUUGCGCAAGGGGGGAAACCCUGACGAAGCAACGCCGCGUGGAGGAUGACACUUUUCGGAGCAUAAACUCCUUUUGUUAGGGAAGCGGUACCUAACGAAUAAGCACCGGCUAACUCCGUGCCAGCCGCCGCGGUAAUUC